GGGGCGUGGCGAAAUUGGUAGACGCACUGGAUUUAGGUUCCAGCGCCGCAAGGUGUAAGAGUUCGAGUCUCUUCGCCCCACCA
rnacentral:tRNA from 1 species